rnacentral:rRNA from 1 species
GGUUAAGCGACUAAGCGUACACGGUGGAUGCCCUGGCAGUCAGAGGCGAUGAAGGACGUGCUAAUCUGCGAUAAGCGUCGGUAAGGUGAUAUGAACCGUUAUAACCGGCGAUUUCCGAAUGGGGAAACCCAGUGUGUUUCGACACACUAUCAUUAACUGAAUCCAUAGGUUAAUGAGGCGAACCGGGGGAACUGAAACAUCUAAGUACCCCGAGGAAAAGAAAUCAACCGAGAUUCCCCCAGUAGCGGCGAGCGAACGGGGAGCAGCCCAGAGCCUGAAUCAGUGUGUGUGUUAGUGGAAGCGUCUGGAAAGGCGCGCGAUACAGGGUGACAGCCCCGUACACAAAAAUGCACAUGCUGUGAGCUCGAUGAGUAGGGCGGGACACGUGGUAUCCUGUCUGAAUAUGGGGGGACCAUCCUCCAAGGCUAAAUACUCCUGACUGACCGAUAGUGAACCAGUACCGUGAGGGAAAGGCGAAAAGAACCCCGGCGAGGGGAGUGAAAAAGAACCUGAAACCGUGUACGUACAAGCAGUGGGAGCACGCUUCGGCGUGUGACUGCGUACCUUUUGUAUAAUGGGUCAGCGACUUAUAUUCUGUAGCAAGGUUAACCGAAUAGGGGAGCCGAAGGGAAACCGAGUCUUAACUGGGCGUUAAGUUGCAGGGUAUAGACCCGAAACCCGGUGAUCUAGCCAUGGGCAGGUUGAAGGUUGGGUAACACUAACUGGAGGACCGAACCGACUAAUGUUGAAAAAUUAGCGGAUGACUUGUGGCUGGGGGUGAAAGGCCAAUCAAACCGGGAGAUAGCUGGUUCUCCCCGAAAGCUAUUUAGGUAGCGCCUCGUGAAUUCAUCUCCGGGGGUAGAGCACUGUUUCGGCAAGGGGGUCAUCCCGACUUACCAACCCGAUGCAAACUGCGAAUACCGGAGAAUGUUAUCACGGGAGACACACGGCGGGUGCUAACGUCCGUCGUGAAGAGGGAAACAACCCAGACCGCCAGCUAAGGUCCCAAAGUCAUGGUUAAGUGGGAAACGAUGUGGGAAGGCCCAGACAGCCAGGAUGUUGGCUUAGAAGCAGCCAUCAUUUAAAGAAAGCGUAAUAGCUCACUGGUCGAGUCGGCCUGCGCGGAAGAUGUAACGGGGCUAAACCAUGCACCGAAGCUGCGGCAGCGACGCUGAUGCGUUGUUGGGUAGGGGAGCGUUCUGUAAGCCUGCGAAGGUGUGCUGUGAGGCAUGCUGGAGGUAUCAGAAGUGCGAAUGCUGACAUAAGUAACGAUAAAGCGGGUGAAAAGCCCGCUCGCCGGAAGACCAAGGGUUCCUGUCCAACGUUAAUCGGGGCAGGGUGAGUCGACCCCUAAGGCGAGGCCGAAAGGCGUAGUCGAUGGGAAACAGGUUAAUAUUCCUGUACUUGGUGUUACUGCGAAGGGGGGACGGAGAAGGCUAUGUUGGCCGGGCGACGGUUGUCCCGGUUUAAGCGUGUAGGCUGGUUUUCCAGGCAAAUCCGGAAAAUCAAGGCUGAGGCGUGAUGACGAGGCACUACGGUGCUGAAGCAACAAAUGCCCUGCUUCCAGGAAAAGCCUCUAAGCAUCAGGUAACAUCAAAUCGUACCCCAAACCGACACAGGUGGUCAGGUAGAGAAUACCAAGGCGCUUGAGAGAACUCGGGUGAAGGAACUAGGCAAAAUGGUGCCGUAACUUCGGGAGAAGGCACGCUGAUAUGUAGGUGAAGUCCCUCGCGGAUGGAGCUGAAAUCAGUCGAAGAUACCAGCUGGCUGCAACUGUUUAUUAAAAACACAGCACUGUGCAAACACGAAAGUGGACGUAUACGGUGUGACGCCUGCCCGGUGCCGGAAGGUUAAUUGAUGGGGUCAGCGCAAGCGAAGCUCUUGAUCGAAGCCCCGGUAAACGGCGGCCGUAACUAUAACGGUCCUAAGGUAGCGAAAUUCCUUGUCGGGUAAGUUCCGACCUGCACGAAUGGCGUAAUGAUGGCCAGGCUGUCUCCACCCGAGACUCAGUGAAAUUGAACUCGCUGUGAAGAUGCAGUGUACCCGCGGCAAGACGGAAAGACCCCGUGAACCUUUACUAUAGCUUGACACUGAACAUUGAGCCUUGAUGUGUAGGAUAGGUGGGAGGCUUGGAAGUGUGGACGCCAGUCUGCAUGGAGCCGACCUUGAAAUACCACCCUUUAAUGUUUGAUGUUCUAACGUUGACCCGUAAUCCGGGUUGCGGACAGUGUCUGGUGGGUAGUUUGACUGGGGCGGUCUCCUCCUAAAGAGUAACGGAGGAGCACGAAGGUUGGCUAAUCCUGGUCGGACAUCAGGAGGUUAGUGCAAUGGCAUAAGCCAGCUUGACUGCGAGCGUGACGGCGCGAGCAGGUGCGAAAGCAGGUCAUAGUGAUCCGGUGGUUCUGAAUGGAAGGGCCAUCGCUCAACGGAUAAAAGGUACUCCGGGGAUAACAGGCUGAUACCGCCCAAGAGUUCAUAUCGACGGCGGUGUUUGGCACCUCGAUGUCGGCUCAUCACAUCCUGGGGCUGAAGUAGGUCCCAAGGGUAUGGCUGUUCGCCAUUUAAAGUGGUACGCGAGCUGGGUUUAGAACGUCGUGAGACAGUUCGGUCCCUAUCUGCCGUGGGCGCUGGAGAACUGAGGGGGGCUGCUCCUAGUACGAGAGGACCGGAGUGGACGCAUCACUGGUGUUCGGGUUGUCAUGCCAAUGGCACUGCCCGGUAGCUAAAUGCGGAAGAGAUAAGUGCUGAAAGCAUCUAAGCACGAAACUUGCCCCGAGAUGAGUUCUCCCUGACCCUUUAAGGGUCCUGAAGGAACGUUGAAGACGACGACGUUGAUAGGCCGGGUGUGUAAGCGCAGCGAUGCGUUGAGCUAACCGGUACUAAUGAACCGUGAGGCUUAACCUU